rnacentral:rRNA from 1 species
AUUGAACGCUGGCGGCAGGCCUAACACAUGCAAGUCGAGCGGAAACGAGUUAUCUGAACCUUCGGGGAACGAUAACGGCGUCGAGCGGCGGACGGGUGAGUAAUGCCUAGGAAAUUGCCCUGAUGUGGGGGAUAACCAUUGGAAACGAUGGCUAAUACCGCAUGAUGCCUACGGGCCAAAGAGGGGGACCUUCGGGCCUCUCGCGUCAGGAUAUGCCUAGGUGGGAUUAGCUAGUUGGUGAGGUAAGGGCUCACCAAGGCGACGAUCCCUAGCUGGUCUGAGAGGAUGAUCAGCCACACUGGAACUGAGACACGGUCCAGACUCCUACGGGAGGCAGCAGUGGGGAAUAUUGCACAAUGGGCGCAAGCCUGAUGCAGCCAUGCCGCGUGUAUGAAGAAGGCCUUCGGGUUGUAAAGUACUUUCAGUCGUGAGGAAGGCGGCGUCGUUAAUAGCGGCGUUGUUUGACGUUAGCGACAGAAGAAGCACCGGCUAACUCCGUGCCAGCAGCCGCGGUAAUACGGAGGGUGCGAGCGUUAAUCGGAAUUACUGGGCGUAAAGCGCAUGCAGGUGGUUUGUUAAGUCAGAUGUGAAAGCCCGGGGCUCAACCUCGGAAUAGCAUUUGAAACCGGCAGACUAGAGUACUGUAGAGGGGGGUAGAAUUUCAGGUGUAGCGGUGAAAUGCGUAGAGAUCUGAAGGAAUACCGGUGGCGAAGGCGGCCCCCUGGACAGAUACUGACACUCAGAUGCGAAAGCGUGGGGAGCAAACAGG